CUGAUUCUUGUAGUUGAACUUGAAGGCUGUAGCUUGCCGUUGAACAAGCUAAGGAAGAAAAUGAUUAGCUUUGUAAAGUUUGUAUGCAUUUGACCACUGCCAUCUUUCCCUCUCACAGCAUCAAAAAGCAAGCAAAGGUGCUUUUGCUGUUAAUUUGGGCCAGCAAAAAUAAGGUGACAGUGGAAGCCAUGUAGGUGCUAUUUUCUCAAUGCCCUUCCAGGGAAUCGUUUAACAACAGUUUUAACUUAUCAGCACCACUCUUUUCAGAUCUUUGUAAGCCCCAGG
rnacentral:lncRNA from 1 species